GUCAUAGAAGUGACCAUUGUAAUAUUAUCUGAAUUAUCUGUGUACAACUUAAUGAUUGUGUAUAUAAGAAUCAUGGGUACGACUUGUUGAGUUACAGUUUACUAGAUAAACGUUUGAAAGUUGCAUGUCUCGUCUCUUGUUUCUAUACAAGAAUAUUACAACCAUAUAUUCAGCAAAGUUCAUUCGUUGUCACCAUUUUAAUUAUUUCAUGCUUUUAGUUGACACUUACAUGGAAGGAGUACAGUGAGUUUGUGUUGCUGACAGUAAGAACGACUCUGACACCCACCCCGAGUACAUAAUGUGUACAGGGGGUUAUAGCAGGGACUUGUAUGCAUGGGCAGAAGAAAUGUUCUUAACUGACUAUCCCAUCAUUGCCAGCUGUUGGAGACUGAACAAUUUACUGAAAUCAGUGCUGGGGUGUAGCAAUCAGUGGGUGUCCUCAUUUGCCCCAAGAAGAGUCAGAGAACUCCCUGGGCCUCAUGAGAUUGUGACACCGUGCAGUAGGAGUUAAAAGCAGACAGAGAUUUUCUUAGCAUCUGAUCCAUUUCCGGAGACAAACUUUUGUAUGGAGCUGCUCCCUGGGCCUCAUGAGAUUGUGACACCGUGCAGUAGGAGCAGUUCCUACCGGUAUCUCUUAAAAGCAGACAGAAAUUUUCUGAUCAUCUGAUCCAUUUCUGGAGACAAACAUUUGUAUGGAACUGGGUAGCAGUUACUUGAGAUGUCUGGCUGAUGGAUGAAGAUAAUUUCCCCGAGACUCUAACAUUUUGUAGGACUUGGAUAGCUCUAUUGCUGUAGAAAAUGUCAGGACGGUGGAGAUUUAGAUAAGUGGUGUGAUGUUAUUGAUGGUAAACAGAAGACUGUGACCUUGAAUCUGAAGAUCUGUGAUGAAGACCGGACGUUUGGGGUCACUCUCUGUUACAGUACUACAAAUCUAACAGUGUCAUGCUCAGCCACAAAGAGGUUGUCUCUGAUGUCCACACAUAAACCCCGUGGACGUUCUAAAUCACAGUGAAUGUAACGGAGGAACUGUCCGUCCUGAUCUAGGAUGUGGAUACGGUAAUUGUUAAAGUCUGCUGUCAGGAUGUGACUCUGGCUGUCUGUAGUGAUGCCGCGUGGAUUAAAUGAUUGCUCGGUAUUAGAGGGAUGACCAGUGUAUCUAAAUCGGAGUUUUCCUGACUGAUUGACCACCACUACUGCUCUAGCUGACCGGUCAGCCACACAGAUAUCCAGGUUCCUGUUCUCACUGAGGUAUUUAUAGAUAUAACCAGAUGAGUAGAGAGUGUAAUAACCAGAUGAGUAGAGAGGACGACCCUGAUCAUCAAACUGAAUGCUUUGUUUCUCUGUGGAGCCGGAGUAACGCACGACUUUGGAUUGUUUCCAAUCAUCACUGACCAUGAUAACCAGGAGAUCGUUACCCGCGGUACAGCAGACAGAGCGAGGACUCCACCCCUGUAGUGUGAUCACGAAUGAGUUGAGUGGAAUAAUGAACUUCCAGAUGUCUAUGUACACGUGUAUGAAUAAACUGUUGUACUCGCGCGUGCGAGCUUAUCCUAUA